UGCAGUCGAGCGGACCGAWGGGAGCUUGCUCCUUUAGGUUAGCGGCGGACGGGUGAGUAACACGUGGGCAACCUGCCCUGCAGACUGGGAUAACUUCGGGAAACCGGAGCUAAUACCGGAUAACACCGAAAACCGCAUGGUUUUCGGUUGAAAGGCGRCUUUUAGCUGUCACUGCAGGAUGGGCCCGCGGCGCAUUAGCUAGUUGGUGAGGUAACGGCUCACCAAGGCGACGAUGCGUAGCCGACCUGAGAGGGUGACCGGCCACACUGGGACUGAGACACGGCCCAGACUCCUACGGGAGGCAGCAGUAGGGAAUCUUCCGCAAUGGACGAAAGUCUGACGGAGCAACGCCGCGUGAGCGAAGARGGUCUUCGGAUCGUAAAGCUCUGUUGUCAGGGAAGARCAAGUGCCGUUCGAACAGGGCGGUACCUUGACGGUACCUGACGAGGAAGCCACGGCUAACUACGUGCCAGCAGCCGCGGUAAUACGUAGGUGGCAAGCGUUGUCCGGAAUUAUUGGGCGUAAARCGCGCGCAGGCGGUUCCUUAAGUCUGAUGUGAAAUCUCGCGGCUCAACCGCGAGCGGCCAUUGGAAACUGGGGAACUUGAGUGCAGGAGAGGGGAGCGGAAUUCCACGUGUAGCGGUGAAAUGCGUAGAGAUGUGGAGGAACACCAGUGGCGAAGGCGGCUCUCUGGCCUGUAACUGACGCUGAGGCGCGAAAGCGUGGGGAGCGAACAGGAUUAGAUACCCUGGUAGUCCACGCCGUAAACGAUGAGUGCUAAGUGUUAGRGGGUAUCCACCCUUUAGUGCUGCAGCAAACGCAUUAAGCACUCCGCCUGGGGAGUACNNCCGCAAGGCUGAAACUCAAAGGAAUUG
rnacentral:rRNA from 1 species